UACAGAGGGUGCGAGCGUUGUUCGGAAUUACUGGGCGUAAAGCGCGCGCAGGCGGCUCUUUAAGUCCGCCGGUGAAAUGCCGGGGCUCAACCCCGUGCCCGCCGCGGAUACUGGGGAGCUGGAGACGAGUAGAGGCAAGCGGAAUUCCGGGUGUAGCGGUGGAAUGCGUAGAGAUCCGGAAGAACACCGGAGGCGAAGGCGGCUUGCUGGGCUCGGUCUGACGCUGAGGCGCGAAAGCGUGGGGAGCGAACAGG
rnacentral:rRNA from 1 species